rnacentral:rRNA from 1 species
GAUGAACGCUGGCGGCGUGCUUAACACAUGCAAGUCGAACGGAAAGGCUCCUGCUUGCAGGGGUACUCGAGUGGCGAACGGGUGAGUAACACGUGGGUGAUCUGCCCUGCACUUCGGGAUAAGCCUGGGAAACUGGGUCUAAUACCGGAUAGGACGAUGGUUUGGAUGCCAUUGUGGAAAGUUUUUCGGUGUGGGAUGAGCUCGCGGCCUAUCAGCUUGUUGGUGGGGUAAUGGCCUACCAAGGCGUCGAUGGGUAGCCGGCCUGAGAGGGUGUACGGCCACAUUGGGACUGAGAUACGGCCCAGACUCCUACGGGAGGCAGCAGUGGGGAAUAUUGCACAAUGGGCGCAAGCCUGAUGCAGCGACGCCGCGUGGGGGAUGACGGCCUUCGGGUUGUAAACUCCUUUCGCUAGGGACGAAGCGCAAGUGACGGUACCUGGAGAAGAAGCACCGGCUAACUACGUG